AGGAUUUCUACUUGUGCUAGACUUUUGAUUGCUACAUUUUGGAAUAUUUCCAACCACAUCUUAAAUGCACAGAAAUAUAUGGCACAUCUACCCAAUGGAUUUGAAAGCACACUUGGAAUCCAUGGGGAACCAAGACCUUAAGGUCACUCAUUUAUUUUCUUCUAGGCUUGCAGAUGGUCUGCACCUAUUCCCUCUCCCUCGCCUUCCUUCUC